rnacentral:lncRNA from 1 species
GGUGUGAGUGCCAAUGAGAGAACUCUCCAUCCAAAUAACAAUUUGUAAAAGUAAACCAUUCUAUCUAUGACAGAAUUUUGUCUGAUAUUUUUGUUGAGCCUUCGACUUUAGUUGAAUAAGCAAGACAUUGUGAUCCUACAUUCUGUCGGCAUCAGCAUUGUCAUUGGCGGCGGCUGCCACAAAUAUUCACUCUGUGGUUAAAGUUUUUGAAAUUUUAAUCACUUUCUUAAACUAUCCUGGAUUUGUACCAAACCUGGACAGAAGCUUGUUUAC